UACAGAGGGUGCGAGCGUUGUUCGGAAUUACUGGGCGUAAAGCGCGCGUAGGCGGCUCUUCAAGUCAGGCGUGAAAGCCCCGAGCUUAACUCGGGAACUGCGCUUGAUACUGUCGAGCUAGAGUGUGGAAGGGGCGAUUGGAAUUCCGUGUGUAGCGGUGAAAUGCGUAGAUAUACGGAGGAACACCAGAGGCGAAGGCGGAUCGCUGGGCCAACACUGACGCUGAUGUGCGAAAGCUAGGGGAGCAAACGGG
rnacentral:rRNA from 1 species